GUUUGGGGCUGCGGCGGCCGUGGCAGACUGAGCUGAGAGUGUUUGUAUUUGCUUCAAAGUCUUCUCAUCACCCUGUUUGGUGACAAAAACUCAUGUCUGGAGAUCAGGAGGCGCGUUCCUGAUUGAUCUGGAAGCAGCAGCUCGGUGCGAGGGAAGGAGUCUAUACACACGGCAACAGCUCUUUAAUUUCUUAAUUUAAUAUCUGACACGUAAAGAUUCUCAUUAAGCCAGUCAAUGAAGCCUGGAAAUACAAUUUUCGUGCAAACUGUCGCUAUCAUAACUUACACGAAACUUCAGCUGGUGCCCUGUGAGCGGCGUGAUUAAAACCAUUCAUCUUCCCUGUCAGCCUCCCGUCACCGCACCACCCGUGCCACCGCCGUUGGGUGCUGGGUGUGGGAUGCACAGUGCCCACACUUGGGCAUGGGUGACUAUGGCAUCACCCAGCAGGAUGGUGGGAGGGAGAGC